AUUGAACGCUGGCGGCAGGCUUAACACAUGCAAGUCGAGCGGGGUGAUGGUGCUUGCACUAUCACUUAGCGGCGGACGGGUGAGUAAUGCUUAGGAGUCUGCCUAUUAGUGGGGGACAACAUCUCGAAAGGGAUGCUAAUACCGCAUACGUCCUACGGGAGAAAGCAGGGGAUCACUUGUGACCUUGCGCUAAUAGAUGAGCCUAAGUCGGAUUAGCUAGUUGGUGGGGUAAAGGCCUACCAAGGCGACGAUCUGUAGCGGGUCUGAGAGGAUGAUCCGCCACACUGGGACUGAGACACGGCCCAGACUCCUACGGGAGGCAGCAGUGGGGAAUAUUGGACAAUGGGGGAACCCUGAUCCAGCCAUGCCGCGUGAGUGAAGAAGGCCUUAUGGUUGUAAAGCACUUUAAGCGAGGAGGAGGCUCUUUUGGUUAAUACCCAAGAUGAGUGGACGUUACUCGCAGAAUAAGCACCGGCUAACUCUGUGCCAGCCGCCGCGGUAA
rnacentral:rRNA from 1 species